rnacentral:rRNA from 1 species
AAAGAAACCAACCGGGAUUGCCUCAGUAACGGCGAGUGAAGCGGCAAGAGCUCAAAUUUGAAAGCUGGCCCCCUCGGGGUCCGCGUUGUAAUUUGCAGAGGAUGCUUCGGGUGCGGCCCCUGUCUAAGUGCCCUGGAACGGGCCGUCAGAGAGGGUGAGAAUCCCGUCUUGGGCAGGGUGCCCGUGCCCGUGUGAAGCUCCUUCGACGAGUCGAGUUGUUUGGGAAUGCAGCUCUAAAUGGGUGGUAAAUUUCAUCUAAAGCUAAAUACCGGCCGGAGACCGAUAGCGCACAAGUAGAGUGAUCGAAAGAUGAAAAGCACUUUGAAAAGAGAGUUAAACAGCACGUGAAAUUGUUGAAAGGGAAGCGCUUGCGACCAGACUCGGCCCCGGGGUUCAGCCAGCACUCGUGCUGGUGUACUUCCCCGGGGGCGGGCCAGCGUCGGUUUGGGCGGCCGGUCAAAGGCCCCAGGAAUGUAUCGCCCUCCGGGGUUGUCUUAUAGCCUGGGGUGCAAUGCGGCCAGCCCGGACCGAGGAACGCGCUUCGGCACGGACGCUGGCGUAAUGGUCGCAAACGAC